rnacentral:rRNA from 1 species
CCUACGGGUGGCUGCAGUGGGGAAUAUUGCGCAAUGGGCGAAAGCCUGACGCAGCGACGCCGCGUGAGGGAUGAAGGUCUUCGGAUCGUAAACCUCUGUCAGCAGGGAAGAACGGUCACUGUGCUAAUCAGCAGUGAAUUGACGGUACCUGCAAAGGAAGCACCGGCUAACUCCGUGCCAGCAGCCGCGGUAAUCCGGAGGGUGCGAGCGUUAAUCGGAUUUACUGGGCGUAAAGCGCUCGUAGGCGGUAUGUCAAGUCAAGGGUGAAAUCCCCGCGCUCAACGUGGGAACUGCCUUUGAAACUGGCAAACUGGAGUGUGUGAGAGGAUAGUGGAAUUCCAGGUGUAGGAGUGAAAUGCGUAGAUAUCUGGAAGAACAUCAGUGGCGAAGGCGACUAUCUGGCACAUAACUGACGCUGAGGAGCGAAAGCGUGGGUAGCAAACAGGAUUAGAUACCCCAGUAGUC